UCCGAGUUGACCCCGGCAGUCUCCUAUGAGUCCCCGGCUUGAACCGCUGGCAACAUAGGACAAGGGUUGCGCUCGUUGCGGGACUUAACCCAACAUCUCACGACACGAGCUGACGACGGCCAUGCAACACCUGUCACUCGGCUCCCGAAGGCACUUUCUCCUUUCGGAGAAAUUCCAAGGAUGUCAAACCCUGGUAAGGUUCUUCGCUUACCGUCGAAUUAAACAACACGCUCCACCGCUUGUGCGGGUCCCCGUCAAUUCCUUUAUGUUUUAAGCUUGCGCUCGUACUCCACAGGCGGGAUGCUUAACGCGUUAGCUUCGCUACUACCAGGGUCGAUACUGAUAACAGCUAGCAUCCAUAGUUUACGGCGUGGACUA
rnacentral:misc_RNA from 1 species